AAAAACAAUCAACACGUUUAAUUCUCAGCUGUGCUUGAGGCGUAACAGAACACCCAAUUGCUUGCAAAAUUGCCCCGCUAGGUGAGAAAAAGUAAGUAAUAAUUAUGAUUUGGAAUGCAAUGCGUUCGAUUCAAGCUGCCUGAAGCAUGUUCUGUGUUGUGUAGUUUUGCAUUGAAACAGCUUCCCAGCACAGAAUGAGUUAUUAAGUUUACUCAAAUCGUGAGUCAGAAUCAGCACAGCUGGAAUGUCAAUAAAAUGUACCCGCACGGUGGCGACAAAGAGCUCUUUACAGUUGGCUAUGGCCUAUGAGGAUCCAAGUACAGCUUGAUACGUGUUAUGCUCUGAUUCCCUACACCAGGUUUUACACAAUAGAUGUGCAUUUAAAACUCUUUAAAUAAACUACUUGAAGAUAACCCGACAAAAAAAGGUAAAUCUGAAGUAAUAUGAACUAGAGCAGAACCAUAUAAACGUUUUACGUCUAAAGUAGUAUACCAUUUUGGCUAAGAAAGCCGUAACAGCUAUAUAUUUUUAUUAAUUGUAUGUUCGUAACCAUUAAUACUGCGUUUAACAAAAAAAAUCAUUCAAAUACUGCGUUUAACAAAAAUAUCUCUCAAAAAACCACUCGAUUCACACAAAUAUAGUAGGGUACAAAAAUAACGCAUUUCUUAACACGAUUGUAACGAACCGAUUUUUUGGCUAAUUGUUACAAAUAGAUUCUUACGGUUACGGUCACGUAUACCAUCAGUCAGACCAACUGUUCAUUAAAACCAAUUACGGCAAUUUUCUCAAGCGAAACCCGCAGCGAUUUUGUAUAUUAGAAAUUAAAUUAAAUCCUUUGAGCUAUAAUUUAUCCGUCGACUUAUUUACCCCAUGCAAAGUAUUGACCCACUUUCUACAGCUCGUGUCCUUUCAAGCAUAGGAUUUAGGUUAGGCGGUACAAUAGAGGAUUAAGUUAAGAUGUUUGCAUGGAAAACUAUAUGCUUAAAGGCGUCCCAUUAAAAAUAACUGUGGGAUUGAAUUAAUGAAUGAAUGAAUAAAUGCAGUUUUAUCUUUUCGUGGCUCGAGUUAAUGAAUGAGUUAAUAAAAAAAUGCAUGUAAUUUAUUUAAUAAGGUAAUGAAUCGAUGAAUGUAUGUAACUUGUUUUUAUCGACGCGUGAGGGGAAUACAGUAGUUAAAACACAAGUGUUUUGUUCCAUACACCUCCUGUCCUGUUACUAGCCAUGGGCAGCAAAACCGUAUCGCAAAAAGUAACUUAACCAUUUAAACCAACAAUCCAAUUGUAUUUAAAAAUACCAAGGCGUUCAAAUUGCUUACAUUGCAAUUUAGCAAGUACUUUUAAUAUCCUGGACAGGAGACCAUUUAUAAAAUUAUCGACCAUGUUAUUAAACUGAACGUUAUGUUAGACGUAUAAUUGAGAGAGACCACGGUAGUUGUAACCGCUGAUAUAAUGACAACGUUCUGUAUUGUAAACGUGAGGUAUGGCAUUCUGGGAAAGUUAGAACGACAACGAAAAUGUAGGCCUUUGAUGACCAGAAUAUCUGUACAGACAAAUUGGGAAAACGUAAUCUGUUUGAACUGUAUUUUUAGGGUAGUGAUCUUUUGUGAAAAAAUGAUCCGUUUGACCACUACUUAGGGGUAUUGGUCCAACUCCGUCUUAAAUCCUGGAUCCGUAUUUUGCCAAAAUCUUAUAUAUCAGUACGACAAAGCUAUAUUAGGAGUUUACUGAUGUCGCGUAAUAGUUUGUACACUUUUGUAUACAAAUAGUCAAGAUGAAUGUAACGAUACUAUUUUCGUACAAAACUAUACAGUUGUUUAGUUUUCUCGGUUUAUGUUUCCUUUCAUCAGGUCACUGGUGCUUCUUGUUUGAGUAGGCACCUAUAUAUUUUGUUGUUCUACUUUUUCGAGUUUGUAAAUUACCGGUUUGGGGUAAAAUGGGGCUUUAAAGGGCUUUAAAGGGCUGGAAAGCCAAGUUGGCGUUAGAAGGGAUUCGUACAAAUAUAAGAUCCCCAGAUAAGCUAUAA